CCAUUUCCGUUGUAUCGCUUGUUCCAUCAGCUCGCGUCGAAUCCUUCAACAACGAUAUCAGCAAGAGAGGAGUUGUUCGACAACAUGCGUUCUACAAGCUUACCGCAGAACGCAUGCACCUUACAGAAAUCAUGGCUCUGCUACAGCAUCAAGGCUUUGUCAACUUUCUGGAAUGCAACACUAAAUACAGCGAAGACUUAG
rnacentral:lncRNA from 1 species